AAAUUGAAGAGUUUGAUCAUGGCUCAGAUUGAACGCUGGCGGCAGGCCUAACACAUGCAAGUCGAACGGUAACAGGAAGCAGCUUGCUGCUUUGCUGACGAGUGGCGGACGGGUGAGUAAUGUCUGGGAAACUGCCUGAUGGAGGGGGAUAACUACUGGAAACGGUGGCUAAUACCGCAUAACGUCGCAAGACCAAAGAGGGGGACCUUCGGGCCUCUUGCCAUCAGAUGUGCCCAGAUGGGAUUAGCUUGUUGGUGAGGUAACGGCUCACCAAGGCGACGAUCCCUAGCUGGUCUGAGAGGAUGACCAGCCACACUGGAACUGAGACACGGUCCAGACUCCUACGGGAGGCAGCAGUGGGGAAUAUUGCACAAUGGGCGCAAGCCUGAUGCAGCCAUGCCGCGUGUAUGAAGAAGGCCUUCGGGUUGUAAAGUACUUUCAGCGGGGAGGAAGGUGUUGCGGUUAAUAACCGCAGCAAUUGACGUUACCCGCAGAAGAAGCACCGGCUAACUCCGUGCCAGCAGCCGCGGUAAUACGGAGGGUGCAAGCGUUAAUCGGAAUUACUGGGCGUAAAGCGCACGCAGGCGGUCUGUCAAGUCGGAUGUGAAAUCCCCGGGCUCAACCUGGGAACUGCAUUCGAAACUGGCAGGCUUGAGUCUUGUAGAGGGGGGUAGAAUUCCAGGUGUAGCGGUGAAAUGCGUAGAGAUCUGGAGGAAUACCGGUGGCGAAGGCGGCCCCCUGGACAAAGACUGACGCUCAGGUGCGAAAGCGUGGGGAGCAAACAGGAUUAGAUACCCUGGUAGUCCACGCCGUAAACGAUGUCUACUUGGAGGUUGUGCCCUUGAGGCGUGGCUUCCGGAGCUAACGCGUUAAGUAGACCGCCUGGGGAGUACGGCCGCAAGGUUAAAACUCAAAUGAAUUGACGGGGGCCCGCACAAGCGGUGGAGCAUGUGGUUUAAUUCGAUGCAACGCGAAGAACCUUACCUGGUCUUGACAUCCACAGAACUUUCCAGAGAUGGAUUGGUGCCUUCGGGAACUGUGAGACAGGUGCUGCAUGGCUGUCGUCAGCUCGUGUUGUGAAAUGUUGGGUUAAGUCCCGCAACGAGCGCAACCCUUAUCCUUUGUUGCCAGCGAUUAGGUCGGGAACUCAAAGGAGACUGCCAGUGAUAAACUGGAGGAAGGUGGGGAUGACGUCAAGUCAUCAUGGCCCUUACGACCGUGGCUACACACGUGCUACAAUGGCGCAUACAAAGAGAAGCGACCUCGCGAGAGCAAGCGGACCUCAUAAAGUGCGUCGUAGUCCGGAUUGAGUCUGCAACUCGACUCCAUGAAGUCGGAAUCGCUAGUAAUCGUGGAUCAGAAUGCCACGGUGAAUACGUUCCCGGGCCUUGUACACACCGCCCGUCACACCAUGGGAGUGGGUUGCAAAAGAAGUAGGUAGCUUAACCUUCGGGAGGGCGCUUACCACUUUGUGAUUCAUGACUGGGGUGAAGUCGUAACAAGGUAACCGUAGGGGAACCUGCGGUUGGAUCACCUCCUUACCUUAAAGAAGC
rnacentral:rRNA from 1 species